UACGAAGGGGGCUAGCGUUGCUCGGAAUCACUGGGCGUAAAGGGUGCGUAGGCGGGUCUUUAAGUCAGGGGUGAAAUCCUGGAGCUCAACUCCAGAACUGCCUUUGAUACUGAAGAUCUUGAGUUCGGGAGAGGUGAGUGGAACUGCGAGUGUAGCGGUGAAAUGCGCAGAUAUCAGGAAGAACACCCGUGGCGAAGGCGGCUCUCUGGUACGUGACUGACGCUGAGACGCGAAAGCGUGGGGAGCAAACAGG
rnacentral:rRNA from 1 species